rnacentral:rRNA from 1 species
GCGGCAGUUUUACUAUAAGGUCUCGAGCCAGUCCUUUGUGAUCAUUGUUUUCGUCAUUGCGCGAUUUUAAAUCGACGAAUCCGUUUCAGCUUUUCUGGUGGGAACCUACCACCUACCAGAGAAUAACCUGGACCCCAUGUGGGUAUGGCGCUGAAAGAUUUCGCCGCUGAUACUAUUCCGCCCGGCUGACCCCCUCUGCCGGGAAUCCUUACCUGCGCUGCCGGAGUUGGCCAUCUGACAGGUUAAUGCUUUGGGUGAUUUUUUCAUUUCGUAUAUACUCACCGGAAAUCACCGUGCCGGUCAUCUCCGAUGCGCUUCAGGGGGAUAUCAUUUUUUAUUUUUCUCCCUUUGCUUCAUACGUCCCUGCCCUUUGUACAAUGGCAUGCUAACUAGUUACGCGACCCCCGAGCGGUCGGCGUCCCCCAACUUCUUAGAGGGACAAGUGGCGUUCAGCCACCCGAGAUUGAGCAAUAACAGGUCUGUGAUGCCCUUAGAUGUCCGGGGCUGCACGCGCGCUACACUGACUGGCUCAGCGUGUGCCUACCCUACGCCGGCAGGCGCGGGUAACCCGUUGAACCCCAUUCGUGAUGGGGAUCGGGGAUUGCAAUUAUUCCCCAUGAACGAGGAAUUCCCAGUAAGUGCGGGUCAUAAGCUUGCGUUGAUUACGUCCCUGCCCCUUUGUACAA